GAAAUUCGUAGAUAUUAGAAGAAUACCAAUUGCGAAGGCAGCUUUCUGGAUCAUUACUGACACUGAGGACGAAAGCAUGGGUAGCGAAGAGGAUUAGAUACCCUCGUAGUCCAUGCCGUAAACGAUGUGUGUUAGACGUUGGAAAUUUAUUUUCAGUGUCGCAGCGAAAGCGAUAAACACACCGCCUGGGGAGUACGACCGCAAGGUUAAAACUCAAAUGAAUUGACGGGGACCCGCACAAGUAGUGGAGCAUGUGGUUUAAUUCGAAGAUACGCGCAGAACCUUACCAACCCUUGACAUCCUAGGACAACUCCAGAGAUGGAGCUUUCACUUCGGUGACCCUAGUGACAGGUGCUGCAUGGCU
rnacentral:rRNA from 1 species